AUUGAACGCUGGCGGCAUGCCUUACACAUGCAAGUCGAACGGUAGAGGGGCAACCCUCGAGAGUGGCGAACGGGUGAGUAAUGCAUCGGAACGUGCCCAGUCGUGGGGGAUAACGUAGCGAAAGUUACGCUAAUACCGCAUACGACCCGCGGGUGAAAGCGGGGGACUCGCAAGGGCCUCGCGCGAUUGGAGCGGCCGAUGUCAGAUUAGGUAGUUGGUGGGGUAAAGGCCUACCAAGCCGACGAUCUGUAGCUGGUGUGAGAGGACGACCAGCCACACUGGGACUGAGACACGGCCCAGACUCCUACGGGAGGCAGCAGUGGGGAAUUUUGGACAAUGGGCGCAAGCCUGAUCCAGCCAUGCCGCGUGCGGGAAGAAGGCCUUCGGGUUGUAAACCGCUUUUGUCAGGGAAGAAAUCUUCUGGGUUAAUACCUCGGGAGGAUGACGGUACCUGGAGAAUAAGCACCGGCUAACUACGUGCCAGCAGCCGCCGUAA
rnacentral:rRNA from 1 species